CCACGUAUCAACAUCCGAUUCGAAGCUGGUUUCCGGGUGAGCGUGCACUCUUCCAUAUUGUUUUUGGAAGCCGACGAGAGUUAUCGUUGCUUCGAGGUCCGGAGUAAUCAGAAUUUUCUAGAGCAAUCUAGACUUUUCUGACCGGCAGAGAUGAGGGCGAAGUGGCGUAAGAAGCGAAUGCGCAGGCUAAAGCGUAAGAGGAGGAAGAUGCGUGCAAGGUCAAAGUAAAUUCACGCAGCUUUUUUCCAUCACCAAGAACUACCUGACAACCAAUACCAUUGUCUGUUAUCGGAAAGCUGACUGGUCUAUUCAACAUCCCUCGGAUCAGUGCUUAUCAGCAAAAUAAUUAUUUUAAAAGUUCACUUGUCUUGGAUACAUUUUAAUAAAAUAUACUCAAGAUGAAUACAAA